AAAUUGAAGAGUUUGAUCAUGGCUCAGAUUGAACGCUGGCGGCAGGCCUAACACAUGCAAGUCGAGCGGUAGCACAGAGAGCUUGCUCUCGGGUGACGAGCGGCGGACGGGUGAGUAAUGUCUGGGAAACUGCCUGAUGGAGGGGGAUAACUACUGGAAACGGUAGCUAAUACCGCAUAACGUCGCAAGACCAAAGUGGGGGACCUUCGGGCCUCAUGCCAUCAGAUGUGCCCAGAUGGGAUUAGCUAGUAGGUGGGGUAACGGCUCACC
rnacentral:rRNA from 2 species